rnacentral:rRNA from 1 species
GAUGAACGCUGGCGGUAUGCUUAACACAUGCAAGUCGAACGGUCUUUUCGGAGAUAGUGGCGGACGGGUGAGUAACGCGUGAGAAUCUAGCUUCAGGUCGGGGACAACCACUGGAAACGGUGGCUAAUACCGGAUGUGCCGAAAGGUGAAAGAUUUAUUGCCUGAAGAUGAGCUCGCGUCUGAUUAGCUAGUAGGUGUGGUAAGAGCGCACCUAGGCGACGAUCAGUAGCUGGUCUGAGAGGAUGAUCAGCCACACUGGGACUGAGACACGGCCCAGACUCCUACGGGAGGCAGCAGUGGGGAAUUUUCCGCAAUGGGCGAAAGCCUGACGGAGCAAUACCGCGUGAGGGAGGAAGGCUCUUGGGUUGUAAACCUCUUUUCUCAAGGAAGAAAAAAAUGACGGUACUUGAGGAAUAAGCAUCGGCUAACUCCGUGCCAGCAGCCGCGGUAAUACGGAGGAUGCAAGCGUUAUCCGGAAUGAUUGGGCGUAAAGCGUCCGCAGGUGGCUAUGUAAGUCUGCUGUUAAAGAGUGAGGCUCAACCUCAUAAGAGCAGUGGAAACUACAUAGCUAGAGUGCGUUCGGGGCAGAGGGAAUUCCUGGUGUAGCGGUGAAAUGCGUAGAGAUCAGGAAGAACACCGGUGGCGAAAGCGCUCUGCUAGGCCGCAACUGACACUGAGGGACGAAAGCUAGGGGAGCGAAUGGGAUUAGAUACCCCAGUAGUCCUAGCCGUAAACGAUGGAUACUAGGCGUGGCUUGUAUCGACCCGAGCCGUGCCGGAGCUAACGCGUUAAGUAUCCCGCCUGGGGAGUACGCACGCAAGUGUGAAACUCAAAGGAAUUGACGGGGGCCCGCACAAGCGGUGGAGUAUGUGGUUUAAUUCGAUGCAACGCGAAGAACCUUACCAAGACUUGACAUGUCGCGAACUCUUCUGAAAGGAAGAGGUGCCUUCGGGAGCGCGAACACAGGUGGUGCAUGGCUGUCGUCAGCUCGUGUCGUGAGAUGUUGGGUUAAGUCCCGCAACGAGCGCAACCCUCGUUUUUAGUUGCCAGCAUUAAGUUGGGCACUCUAGAGAGACUGCCGGUGACAAACCGGAGGAAGGUGGGGAUGACGUCAAGUCAGCAUGCCCCUUACGUCUUGGGCUACACACGUACUACAAUGCUACGGACAAAGGGCAGCGAGCUAGCGAUAGCAAGCAAAUCUCAUAAACCGUGGCUCAGUUCAGAUCGCAGGCUGCAACUCGCCUGCGUGAAGGAGGAAUCGCUAGUAAUUGCAGGUCAGCAUACUGCAGUGAAUUCGUUCCCGGGCCUUGUACACACCGCCCGUCACACCAUGGAAGCUGGCAACGCCCGAAGUCAUUACUCCAACCCUCGGGAGGAGGAUGCCGAAGGCAGUGCUGGUGACUGGGGUGAAGUCGUAACAAGGUAGCCGUACCGGAAGGUGUGGCUGGAUCACCUCCUUUUAGGGAGACCUACCCAACUUUGAAAUCAAUUGCAAACAGUCAAUAGAGACAAAGAUGGUCUACUCUAGGUCGGUCGCAGGUAUAGUGAAGGCUUUCAAACUAUAGAGAGGUUCUCAAUUAUGGGCUAUUAGCUCAGGUGGUUAGAGCGCACCCCUGAUAAGGGUGAGGUCCCUGGUUCGAGUCCAGGAUGGCCCACCUGAAAGUAAUUGGUAAUUAGGAAUGCGUAAUUCGUAAUUAAUGACGGACUACGAAUUAGAAAUUACGAAUUAUUGAUGGGGGUUUAGCUCAGUUGGUAGAGCGCCUGCUUUGCAAGCAGGAUGUCAGCGGUUCGAGUCCGCUAACCUCCACAUCAUCUCGAUUGCGAAACCAAAAGAGAAUGUGGUAAGAUAAAAGAUUUUGGAUGAAUUCAGCAAUUGGCUUCAAUAAAAGUCAAACUGCUGGGGUUACUCCAGCCAGAACCUUGAAAACUGCAUAGUAACGCGAAAAAUAGCAGGCAGACGAAUUAUAAGUGCUGAGUACUGAGUGCUGAGUGCUGAGUGUAAAACACAAAGCUGAGCAUGAAAGUAACAGAAACAAAUAAAGAGUUUGCAGAUGUGAAACCAAAAGUAUUGUUGUGGUCAAGCUAAUAAGGGGUGAUGGUGGAU